rnacentral:rRNA from 1 species
UAGAGUUUGAUCAUGGCUCAGGAUGAACGCUAGCGGCAGGCUUAACACAUGCAAGCUCGAGGGGCAGCGGGGAGGUAGCAAUACUUCCGCCGGCGACCGGCGCACGGGUGAGUAACACGUAUGGAACCUGCCCGUAGCAGGGGGAUAAACGGAAGAAAUUCCGUCUAAUACCGCGUAAUAACUCCGAGAGGCAUCUCAUGGAGUUUAAAGGGUAACACCGGCUACGGAUGGCCAUGCGGCGCAUUAGCUAGUUGGCGGGGUAACGGCCCACCAAGGCGACGAUGCGUAGGGGUUCUGAGAGGAAGGUCCCCCACACUGGUACUGAGACACGGACCAGACUCCUACGGGAGGCAGCAGUGAGGAAUAUUGGUCAAUGGGCGCGAGCCUGAACCAGCCAAGUCGCGUGAGGGAAGACGGUCCUAUGGAUUGUAAACCUCUUUUGUCGGGGAGCAAAAGGCGCCACGUGUGGCGUUCCGAGAGUACCCGAAGAAAAAGCAUCGGCUAACUCCGUGCCAGCAGCCGCGGUAAUACGGAGGAUGCGAGCGUUAUCCGGAUUUAUUGGGUUUAAAGGGUGCGUAUGCGGUCUGCCAAGUCAGCGGUAAAAUUGCGGGGCUCAACCCCGUACAGCCGAUUGAAACUGUCAGGCUCCAGCGGGCGAGAUGUAUGCGGAAUGCUUGUUGUAGCGGUGUAAUGCUUAGAUUCACGCUGAACCCUGAUUGCCGAAGGCAGCAUACCGGCGCCCUACUGACGCUGAGGCACGAAAGUGCGGGGAUCAAACAGGAUUAGAUACCCUGGUAGUCCACGCAGUAAACGAUGAAUGCUAGUUGUCCGGUUCUUUGGGACUGGGUGACACAGCGAAAGCGUUAAGCAUUCCACCUGGGGAGUACGCCGGCAACGGUGAAACUCAAAGGAAUUGACGGGGGCCCGCACAAGCGGAGGAACAUGUGGUUUAAUUCGAUGAUACGCGAGGAACCUUACCCGGGCUCAAACGUCGGAGGACGUGUGGAGAAAUCCGCAUUUCCCUCGGGACUUCCGACGAGGUGCUGCAUGGUUGUCGUCAGCUCGUGCCGUGAGGUGUCGGCUUAAGUGCCAUAACGAGCGCAACCCCCAUCUACAGUUGCUAACAGGUGAAGCUGAGGACUCUGUGGAGACUGCCGGCGCAAGCUGAGAGGAAGGCGGGGAUGACGUCAAAUCAGCACGGCCCUUACGUCCGGGGCGACACACGUGUUACAAUGGCAGGUACAGCGGGAAGCCACCCGGCGACGGGGCGCGGAACCCGAAAGCCGUUCUCAGUUCGGAUCGGAGUCUGCAACCCGACUCCGUGAAGCUGGAUUCGCUAGUAAUCGCGCAUCAGCCAUGGCGCGGUGAAUACGUUCCCGGGCCUUGUACACACCGCCCGUCAAGCCAUGGGAGCCGGGGGUGCUUGAAGUGCGUCGCCGCGAGGCGCGCCCUAGAGCAAAACCGGUGACUGGGGCUAAGUCGUAAUCAAGGUAGCCGUA